GAACAGAUAUUGCACGGACACACAAGACUGCAGGUGUUAAAAUCUUGAGCCGGAAAACAAACUGCUGGAGGAAGUCAGUGGGUCAGGCAGCA